AUACGGAGGAUCCGAGCGUUAUCCGGAUUUAUUGGGUUUAAAGGGUGCGCAGGCGGGAUGUUAAGUCGGCGGUGAAAUUUUGCAGCUCAACUGUAAAAGUGCCUUCGAUACUGGCUUUCUUGAGUGUGGAUGAAGUAGGCGGAAUUUGUGGUGUAGCGGUGAAAUGCUUAGAUAUCACGAGGAACUCCGAUUGCGCAGGCAGCUUACCGGGCUACAUCUGACGCUGAUGCACGAAAGCGUGGGGAUC
rnacentral:rRNA from 1 species